rnacentral:rRNA from 1 species
UACGAGGGGGGCAAGCGUUGUUCGGAAUUAUUGGGCGUAAAGAGCGUGUAGGCGGCCAUACAGGUCAGCUGUGAAAACUCGAGGCUCAACCUCGAGACGUCGGUUGAAACCGUAUGGCUAGAGUCCGGAAGAGGAGAGUGGAAUUCCCGGUGUAGCGGUGAAAUGCGCAGAUAUCGGGAAGAACACCCGUGGCGAAGGCGGCUCUCUGGGACGGUACUGACGCUGAGACGCGAAAGCGUGGGGAGCGAACAGG